GAUGAACGCUGGCGGCGUGCCUAAUACAUGCAAGUCGAGCGAACAGACGAGGAGCUUGCUCCUCUGACGUUAGCGGCGGACGGGUGAGUAACACGUGGAUAACCUACCUAUAAGACUGGGAUAACUUCGGGAAACCGGAGCUAAUACCGGAUAAUAUAUUGAACCGCAUGGUUCAAUAGUGAAAGACGGUUUUGCUGUCACUUAUAGAUGGAUCCGCGCCGCAUUAGCUAGUUGGUAAGGUAACGGCUUACCAAGGCAACGAUGCGUAGCCGACCUGAGAGAGUGAUCGGCCACACUGAAACUGAGACACGGCCCAGACUCCUACGGGAGGCAGCAGUAGGGAAUCUUCCGCAAUGGGCGAAAGCCUGACGGAGCAACGCCGCGUGAGUGAUGAAGGUCUUCGGAUCGUAAAACUCUGUUAUUAGGGAAGAACAAAUGUGUAAGUAACGAUGCACGUCUUGACGGUACCUAAUCAGAAAGCCACGGCUAACUACGU
rnacentral:rRNA from 1 species